GGAAGACCUCUCCUCCAGGAGAGCGUAUCAGGAACAAGCUCUUAAAAGAGCUAAGUGAUUAAAGCUCAAGGGAGUAUGCAGAACACCCUCAGACACUCCCACACAAAAUCCUCUGCCUCUGAUAUAAUCACUGAACACAAUGGUCUAACUUAAUUAUCACAGGCAGGAAAAUACACAGUUUUACACAAUAUUCAUAACUCUAAAGGUAUACAUCACAGUCACAUAAAACUUACAUUUUCAGAAUCAGCAUACUCCAAAUACAAACAUACGGCAAAAUCAUACAAAUUGGUCCAGUGGGUCAAAAGUUAGUUGAAAGUCCCUUUGUGACCAUCUGCAAGCAUGGCUUGGGUGUGGUAAGCCAAUUACCUCCAGCAUACAGAAAAUAGCUCUAUUCACAACAACAGUAAAAACACAUAAAAAUAAAUAAUUCCUAUUAUACUUAACAGAACUCCCACAUUCAUGGUCCGAGCGCUCACUAUAUCCGAACAGCGCUCAGAUGCCACAAAC